rnacentral:rRNA from 1 species
UACGGAAGGCAGCAGUGGGGAAUAUUGCACAAUGGGCGCAAGCCUGAUGCAGCCAUGCCGCGUGUAUGAAAAAGGCCUUCGGGUUGUAAAGUACUUUCAGUCGUGAGGAAGGUGUUAAGGUUAAUAACCUUAGCAAUUGACGUUAGCGACAGAAGAAGCACCGGCUAACUCCGUGCCAGCAGCCGCGGUAAUACGGAGGGUGCGAGCGUUAAUCGGAAUUACUGGGCGUAAAGGGCACGCAGGCGGUUAAUUAAGUUGGAUGUGAAAUCCCCGGGCUUAACCUGGGAAUGGCAUUCAAGACUGGUUAGCUAGAGUCUUGUAGAGGGGGUUAGAAUUCCAUGUGUAGCGGUGAAAUGCGUAGAGAUGUGGAGGAAUACCGGUGGCGAAGGCGGCCCCUGGACAAAGGCUGACGCUCAUGUGCGAAAGCGUGGGGAGCGAAAC